GACGAACGCUGGCGGCGUGCUUAACACAUGCAAGUCGAACGGAAAGGCCCUGCUUGCAGGGUACUCGAGUGGCGAACGGGUGAGUAACACGUGGGUGAUCUGCCCUGCACUUCGGGAUAAGCCUGGGAAACUGGGUCUAAUACCGGAUAGGAGCCAUUUUUAGUGUGAUGGUUGGAAAGUUUUUUCGGGUUAGGAUGAGCGCGCGGCCUAUCAGCUUGUUGGUGGGGUAAUGGCCUACCAAGGCGGCGACGGGUAGCCGGCCUGAGAGGGUGGACGGCCACAUUGGGACUGAGAUACGGCCCAGACUCCUACGGGAGGCAGCAGUGGGGAAUAUUGAACAAUGGGCGCAAGCCUGAUGCAGCGACGCCGCGUGGGGGAUGACGGCCUUCGGGUUGUAAACUCCUUUCGCUAGGGACGAAGCUUUUUGUGACGGUACCUAGAUAAGAAGCACCGGCUAACUACGUG
rnacentral:rRNA from 1 species